UAUCUCUGUAGAGUCUGCAUAUCAAUAAGCGGAGGAAAAGAAACUAACAAGGAUUCCCUUAGUAACGGCGAGUGAAGCGGGAAGAGCUCAAAUUUGAAAUCUUCAAGGUUUUACCUUGACGAAUUGUAGUCUAAAGAAGUGUUUUCUGUUGAAGUUUCGGUAAAAGUUCUUUGGAAUAGGACAUCAUAGAGGGUGAGAAUCCCGUAUUUGACCGUUAUUUUCAGCUGUGUGAUACACUUUCAAAGAGUCGGAUUGUUUGGGAAUGCAGUCCAAAAUGGGUGGUAAAUUUCAUCUAAAGCUAAAUAUUGGCGAGAGACCGAUAGCGAACAAGUACCGUGAGGGAAAGAUGAAAAGAACUUUGAAAAGAGAGUUAAACAGUACGUGAAAUUGUCAAAAGGGAAGCGUUUGACACCAGUGUUGUUUUCUCGAAAAUCAAUUAAAAAUGGCUUGAUUUUGUGUUGUAUUGACCUUAAAAGCUUUCUUCACUUUUUUCAUGUCCUUUUUAAUGCACUUUUCGUUUAACAAGUCAACAUCAGUUUCUUUUGUUGUAAAAAGGUCAUUGGAAGGUGGCUUUCUUUUCGGAGAAAGUGUUUAUAGCCUUUGACUUCUGCAAUCGGAGAGACUGAGGUCUGCAGCGUAGAUCCUUCUGGAUUAGAUUCAUUUGUGCUAAGUUACAACCGUUUAUAGACAACUUGUUGACUAUAUUCGAUCCUGUAGCUUACUCGCUUAUGUAAUUUUACCUACGCUUAGGAUGUUGAUAUGCAUGACUGAUAU
rnacentral:rRNA from 1 species